rnacentral:misc_RNA from 1 species
AAGACUAUAGACCUGCGGAGUACCUGCGGAAGGAUCAUUAAAAAAGGGUCUUUUUUGACCCAUUUUUUAAAAACCUACUACCAAUUCUUACCCAUCGGGUCAGAUGGAAGUGGGUUUUUUUCAAACUCCAAAAUUUUUAACUAUUCGUCUUGAUGACGAAAUUCAAAAUUAAUAAAUAAAACUUUCAGCAAUGGAUCUCU